GCUCCUCCUCGUGCGCCAGCCGGUACCGCCCGCGGCUCAUGACCGCCAGCCGUUCGCUGGCGGCGGCAAUGGUCCGUUCGAACUGGGCCAGGAGCGC
rnacentral:tRNA from 1 species